GGGCGAGUCUGAGUGCACUGUCAGCAGAGGCCUCUCUUGGCUCACUGUUAGUAGGGGCGCACGCAGCUACAGCUGCCGAGGAUACGCGGGUUUGACUCCGCGUCGUGACAAAGGAACGGGAAAACAGAUUUGACUUGCACGAAUCCACCAUGGCCUUGUCGCGAAUCAGCGCUCUGCGAAGAACGGAUGGCCACCGCAGGGGGUGUUGGUUUUCAGCAUCCUGACAAAGACGAGCAGUUCAUCACCAUGAAUACGGAAUGUGUGCGCUCAGCCUGUCCAUCCAUCACGGUCAUCAAGGAGGUACCGGGAUUCGGCCCGUGACAGAGUGAGGAACCGUCACCUUAAUUGAAGUUAAUGGGCAGAGCAGACAGUGAAGGAGGAGGAGUUCCUCUGUGUGCGAUAAACAAAUACUGAACAUACACGCAUUUGCGUUCAAAAUCCAAUCAAGAUGUAAAAUAGUGAAACAAAUAUGGAGUGAGGCUUUCUGAAGUUAUGGUGGCCAAUUAAAGUAAUCCAAUUAACCCUUUGUCAUGCUCGUUAGAUGUAACCAAUGAACUAUUUCUUUCCUGACACCCUUUACCCAUACGAAAUGAAGCCUAAUUUGCAUAAUUGGCUGUGACAUGUAUGGAUGGUUGCAUUUCACAUUUGAACCGA